rnacentral:rRNA from 1 species
GGGCCCGCACAAGCGGAGGAACAUGUGGUUUAAUUCGAUGAUACGCGAGGAACCUUACCCGGGUUUGAACGCAUUCGGACAGGGGCGGAAACGUCCUCUUCAGCAAUGACCGUUUGCGAGGUGCUGCAUGGUUGUCGUCAGCUCGUGCCGUGAGGUGUCGGCUUAAGUGCCAUAACGAGCGCAACCCCUAUUGCCAGUUGCCAUCGAGUAAAGUCGGGGACUUUGGCAAGACUGCCGGCGUAAGCUGCGAGGAAGGCGGGGAUGACGUCAAAUCAGCACGGCCCUUACAUCCGGGGCGACACACGUGUUACAAUGGCAGGGACAAAGGGCAGCCACCCGGCGACGGGGCGCUAAUCCCAAAACCCUGUCUCAGUUCGGAUCGGAGUCUGCAACUCGACUCCGUGAAGCCGGAUUCGCUAGUAAUCGCGCAUCAGCCAUGGCGCGGUGAAUACG